AUUGAACGCUGUCGGCAGGCCUAACACAUGCAAGUCGAGCGGAUGAAGGGAGCUUGCUCCUGGAUUCAGCGGCGGACGGGUGAGUAAUGCCUAGGAAUCUGCCUGGUAGUGGGGGAUAACGUCCGGAAACGGGCGCUAAUACCGCAUACGUCCUGAGGGAGAAAGUGGGGGAUCUUCGGACCUCACGCUAUCAGAUGAGCCUAGGUCGGAUUAGCUAGUUGGUGGGGUAAAGGCCUACCAAGGCGACGAUCCGUAACUGGUCUGAGAGGAUGAUCAGUCACACUGGAACUGAGACACGGUCCAGACUCCUACGGGAGGCAGCAGUGGGGAAUAUUGGACAAUGGGCGAAAGCCUGAUCCAGCCAUGCCGCGUGUGUGAAGAAGGUCUUCGGAUUGUAAAGCACUUUAAGUUGGGAGAAAGGGCAGUAAGUUAAUACCUUGCUGUUUUGACGUUACCAACAGAAUAAGCACCGGCUAACUUCGUG
rnacentral:rRNA from 1 species